rnacentral:tRNA from 1 species
GGGGGUAUAGCUCAGUGGUAGGGCUCUUGCUUAGCACGCAUGAGGUCCUGAGAUCAAUCCCCAAUACUUCCA